ensembl:lncRNA
GAUAAGCCAGGGUGAUGGUAUCCAUAAUUCAGUGGGCCAUACUCUGCUUAGAGACAACCUUCCCCUUCUGCCAGCCUCCGUAACAGACAAAGAGCUGGUCUGAGGUACUAAAGCUUUGUGUCCGGUCUACGUAGCAUCUCAAGGCUCGGACGGGAAAGAGCAAAGCUAGGGCUGGGUCUGCCUCCUCCGGGGGCAGCACUUGCAGGCUCAACACCUGAUCCCUGAAGGGAGUAAUGGGAACCUUGGGCACAUAGGAUUACAUGGGAGUCAGCCGGCCCAAACUCUAGGCAUGAAUCGUAUGUGUGAACCUAAAAUGUGUGAAGGUCCCCUGCCCCCUUGAUGGAGGCCAGUACAGGCAGGAGCAGAGUUUUCAUUGAAAGAAACUUUAGCUCAACUGACUGCAAAGGCUCAAAUGGGUCCUGCUGUAGUGUUUUAAGAACCAGAGACAAGUCCCAAGAGGGUAUAGAGGAGGGCCGGGGAGGAUUUAACCUUCUUACCCCCCUAAGGAACCUGAUGACCAGGUCAUGGUUCCCUACCGACUUCCCUUCCACGGGGUCAUGGUUAGCAGCAAUCGUAGCGACAUAGUGUUUAUGGGUGGAGGGAGAUAACCUCCAACCCUUGAGGAAUCUGCCAGGGAGGGGCUGUUGCGAGGAGCAUUAGUUCCUGGAACCAGGUUCGAGUGGGCCAAUACGGCGCAACAAGCAGGACCUGCUCCUCGUCCUCCCUGACCUUGCACAGCGUCUGUGCGAGAAGGCACAAUGAGGGAAACGCAUACUUGCGCAGGCCCCACAGCCAGCUGUGUGCUAGUGCAUCCGUGCCGAGUGUUCCCUCAGGGAGUAGAACAACUGGCAGUGAGAGGUUUCUGGAGAGGCAAACAGGUCUACCUGAGCGGCUUCGAAAUGUCUCCAAAUCAGCUGGACCAUCUGGGGAUGGAGUCUCCAUUCUCCAGGAAGCAUAGCUUGUGAACGCUCGUCAGCCAUAUGGUUGAGCAGACCCGGAAUGUGAAUGGCACAAAGUGACCUCAGAACAUUCCGACUCCAAAGGAGGAGGUGGUGGGCGAGUUGCGACAUGUGAUGGGAGCGUAGACCACCUUGUUGGUUGAUGUACGCAACGGUCGCCAUGUUGUCCGUUCAGACCAGCAUGUGCUUGCCUCAUAAGCGCCCUUUGAGAUGGUUCAAGGCAAGGUGCACCACUAACAACUCUAGGCAACUGAUAUGCCAGUGCAGUUGGGGGCCCGUUCACACCCCUGACACUGCGUGCCAGUUGUACAUGGCCCCCCAGCCGGUGGUGGAGGCAUCCAUGUAAACUACAGCAUACCUGGAGACCUGUUCUAGGGGCACUCCGGCCCAGAGGAAUGUAAGGUCUGACCAUGUGGUGAAGGUUUGGCGACUGUCAGGUGUAAAUUGGACCUGGUGAGUGCCGCGCUGCCACGCCCUCCUCGGGACUCUGCCAUGAAGCCAGUGCUGAAGCAGUCUCAUAUUAAGCAGCCCCAGCAGCGUAACUGCAGCUGCCAUAUGCCCCAAGAGCCUCUGAAAUAGUUUCAGUGGGACCACCGUCUUGAACAAGAGCAUAGUGCUCAAACAAGUAGGCAUCCUUCAGGUCGAUUGCUGUAAGCCAAUUUCAGGGAUGGACACACCCGAAGAAGCGUUUCUGCUUCAGAAUCUUGAACAGUAACCGGUGAAGGGUCCGGUUCAAGACAUGCAGGUCCAAGAUUGGUUGUUGUGAAGCGGAUGUCACGAACUUAGGGUGACGCCGGGAAAGUUGAAUCGCAUAGCCAAGGCUGAUAGUCCACAGAAGCCAGCGAAACGUGCUGAGUAGCGCUAGCCAGGCACCCAGAUACCAUGCAAGCAGGACCAACGGAACCACAGCCAUACCCGCAGUGGGGCAGGGAGGUGGAAAGCAGGGACCCACCUCAGACGGCUUGUGAGCGGACCGAAGUGUGGUGCAAUGCUUACCUGGUUCCACAGGUUGGCAGAGGGUUAGUGAGUAGGCCUUUGUUGACGCUCUCGAACCACCAGCUGCUGCCUGCUGGCGAUGGAGGAGGAUGAGUGUGGUCUGGUGUUGGUCUGUCUGCAACUCUCCGUGCCCUCCCGGGACCCAGGGACAGAGAAAACCAUUCUCUCAUCAAGAUUUUCCAGAUUCUCCACCCGGCCCUCCUCCUCCGGGGGAGGGAGAGGUGCCUUCACCAUGCCCCAAAGAGCAGCUUCCUUUCUCUCUUGGCAUUAAAGAACCAAACUUUGUCGGUGUCCCUCAUAUCAACCAGACACAGCCAGAGAUGGUGCUCCUGGACCACAAGUGUGGACAUCGCACGACCCAGAGAACUUGCGGUGACGUUCGCCGCUCGGAAACUUACAGAUCAUGACCACCCUUGUGCAGGACCUUGUGCCUUGCCCCAAUUAACCUACAGUAACGCUGUAGCAUGUAAGGCGGAGACAGCUUCUCCAAAGGCAAUAUAAGCAUCGUUGGACAGGCAAGAUGAGUACCUAAAGACACAGGAGAGGAGACACGGUUGCAACCGACCGCUCCACUGGGGGGACCCCUGUAUACCCCCUAGCUGGACCACCAUUGAGGGUGGUGAGGGAGGAGGAGGAACCAGCAGAUCGGUUUCUGGCAGUAAAAGGUGCAGUCCAUGACCUAGUGAGCUCCUCAUGCACCUCCAGGAAGAAAGGCACCGAGGCAGGGCGCUGAGAACCAGUGCGAGUCACCCCGACAAAGCAGUCGUCCAACCUCGAGGGCUCGGGAUGUGGUGGAGGUUUCCAUUUGAGCCCAACCUUCUCGGCGGCCAAGGAAAGCAUAGCCAAAAUCUCUGAAUCCGAUUCAGGCCCUGCCACCGCCCUCUGAUGCAGUGAUCGACAUCCGUUCGUUGGGAGGAGCACCGGAGGAUAUCGUUGGUAUGCUCUUUGAAUGGUCUCUCAAGGGUUGGUUCCCUGAGGGGUUUUCCACCACUGUAACCCUCAAACCACCCAUGCUACUGCAGGAAGUAGCCGUCGUCUGGCAGCUGCCAGGACGAGCACUAGAUUGCAGGAGAGGCAGAGGCAACGGAACCCCCCCACCCCAGCCCCCAGAGGAAACAGAGCCUUGCCCUUCGGCGAGAUGGCCAUCUUUCCACAAUGGGAACAUGACUCAUCCGCAAACACCACCUUAACGUGUUUAAUGCCCCGACACGUGAGACAGUGAUCAUGACCAUCACCAGGUGCCAGGUAACAACCGCUUCCAGAAACUCACGAGUGAAACGAUCCGUCAUCUUUACAAAGACAAACCCAUGUAAGCUCUUUUAGAGAAAUAGACUCUUUCAGGAAAAUGCUCUUUUAGGUGCUGAGACGCACAGGGGAUAUGGCCAUUUGCAGCACGAUAAUGCAGCCUGAAGUGCGCAAUCCACUCAACACAGGAAUGACCACAGCUGAAGCACCAUCCGCAAACACAAGAAUCUGCCUAGAGCCUGCUGAAUUCGUCACACAUGAAGCAGUUUGGUAGGAGCAGAAUGAUUUUGUCACUUUGCUCCAAAGCGAAAAGCUGGUAUGCAUUGCACCUGCUGCCUUUUUAUGCUCACGCUGUGAUCAGCGGCAUCUGGAUGCAAUAAUCGCAUGCCAAUGUGCAUUGGCUCAUUUAGUUUACACUCAAAGUAGAUUGGUCUCUCUAAGCUAGAUCCCAAUUCGUCAGUCACUGACGUGACCGACUGAAAGAGAACUGUUUUCUAUUUAUUUUAUUUGUUCAAAAUAAAAUCCAGUCUUUAGUGUCACAUGAUCCUUCAGAAAUCAUUCUAAUAUGCUGAUUUGGUGCUCAAUCAUUGUCAAUUGUUAUCGGUGCUCAAUUAUUAAUAAUGGUUCUCAUUACAUUAUUAUGUUGAAAACAGCUUUUGCUGAUUAAUAUUUUAUGGGAACCAUUAUUCAUUCUUCUUUGAUGAAUAGAAAAUUCAAAUGAACAGCAUAUACUGAUGUGGAAAAAUAAAUAUUUUGUGAAAAUUUAUGUGUCUUUGCUAAAUAAAAGUAUUAAUUUCUUUGAAAAAAAUUUGGGGUAGUGUAUGGUAGGUUGAAGGGUAGUGUAUCUGUCACGAUACACAGGAGCGAGGAGGUGCAGGAGAAUUACUUUAUCAAAGUCUUUAAUCAAUGCCAAUGAGGAAAUCACACGGAGUGUAGGGGGAGAUGACAUUUAACAGCAGAUGCUAGAAACAGGGAAACAUACUGUAGGGCUUAAAUAUAAGGACUAAACAAGAUAAUUAAUAACACAGCUGGAACUUAACCUAAUAAUGAAACAAUGAGGACAGGAACAGGAAGGACCAAAUAAGGGCAAGAAAGGAGGCCAUGGCAGAUCAGGAGACAUGGGAGGCCAUGGUGGAUCAGGAGACUCGGGAGGCCAUGGCAGAGCAGCUUCCGAGGCCACGGCCCCAGCCCUAUGGCUGGAGCCCUACUACCCCCCCCCCCCCCAAAAAAAAUACUUGGGUGAACUUACUGGGCUUAACGGGGGAUCAGGAGCCCUCCCUGGGCUUAACGGGGAUCAGGAGCCCUCCCUGGGUUUAACAGGGGAUCAGGAUUGCGCUUACGUGGUGCUGGCACUGAAGUGAGUUUUGGGGCUGGAGCCGACACUGGAGCAAGUUCACCGGGCUUACCUGGGGGUCAGGGACGUGCCUACGAGGUGCUGGGACUGGAGGGCGCUCUGGAGGAGCAGGCACAGCAAGGUGCUUUCUAGGAGCUGGCACUGGAGUGAGCUUUGGGGCUGGCAGGCUUGCCACACGAACCGUCGGCUGUUUUGCCAUAUUAAUUUUCGGUAGGCUUGUCACAUGAAUGGCCGGUGAACUUGAGUGUGCCACGGAUGACAGUAGGCUUAAGUGAGCCGCGGUCUGCAAACUUGACUCGGGAAUGGCUGGUUGACUUGACUCGUGGACGCUUGGCAUUUCUGAGCUGAGGACUAUUGUGGAGCUUCGGAUAAUUCAGGGGUAUUUGGGGCUUAGCAGGCGGUUCGAACCGUUGGUGCGGUAUGUGGGGGUUCCCGGCGUGGAGUGAGCUGGCGAGACGCAGCGUGCCUUAGACUGGACUGGAUGACAAGACUGAAACUUUUCCUCUAUUUCUUCAAUUUCAUAAUUGGAGCCAUUUAAAUAAAGAACAAGAUUUAUCAGCUCGAUCAGAGGAUAAUUACACACGGGGAGAUCACAGCGGAUUGUCUCAUCAUCCAGCCCCAGCUGAAAGCAUGCACCAAGAGUGGCAUCGUGCCAGCUCAGCUGUUUAGCAAGCUCGAGGAAAUCCUCCACAUACCAUUCCAACCUCCGACCAGCCCGCCGCAAACCCCACAGCCUGUCCUCAGCCAUCAUCUGUCUUGGUCUGCUGUUCUGUCAUGAUUCACAGGAGCAAGGAACGAAGAGGCGCAGGAGAGUUACUAUAUUACAGUCUUUAAUCAUUCAUAGGAAUCACAACGAGAAAAUCAUACAGAGUGUAGGGGGAGAUGACAUUUAACAGCAGACGCUAGAGACAGGGAAACACAGGGCUUAAACAGAAGGACUAAACGAGAUCAUUAAUAACACAGAGCUGGAACUUAAUAAUCUAAUAAUGAAAUGAUAAGGACAGGAACAGUAAGGACCAAAUAAGGGCAAGAAAGGCACAUGAGGAGCAAAACACUCAAAACACGGAGCAGAGUCUGACAGUAUCAUGGUUACCGCAAAAAUAUUAAGCAACAAAAACUGUUUGUAAAAUUGAUAAUAAUAAUAAUAAUAAUAAUAAUAAUAAUAAUAAUAAAUGUUUCUUGAGCAUCAAAUCAGCAUAUUAGAAUGAUUUCUAAAGGAUCAUGUGAAGACUGGAGUAAUGGAUGCUUAAAUCAAAGAACUGGAUGCUUGUCCAUAACAGAAAUAAAUUUUAAAAUAUAGUAAACUAGAAAAAAGUUAUUUCCAAUUGUAAUAAUAGUGCACAAUAUUACUGUUUUCACUGCAUUUGUAAUUAAAUUAAAUUAUUAUAAAGCAAGUUGUUUUCUGACAGAAUUCUGACAGUCCAGGUUGCAAAAUGACAUAACAGUACAGAUUAAUAAUUGGUGAUAUGUAUUAAUGAUGCCUUUGUCUUAUUGGUUGGUUCAUUGCUCUGUUGUUUCCAGAUGUGGUUGCAUUUGAGAAGUGGAAGUAAUUAUGAACAAUGGUUAAAGUCCUCAUUAAAAUCUAAAUGAGCCUUGGGACUAGUGAGGGGAAAUUAGCUUUAAGACCAUCAUAGACAUAAAGUCUAGCAUAUAUCUCCUCAUUUCAACAUAUCUUUGUUCUUUUCCCAUUUUCUUAUAUCUUCUGUAAUUCUGAAAGUCCUGUAAGACCCCUAUGGCUAAAUGCCAGUGGGUAGCGCUAUGUCAAUGAUGUUCACUUGACAUUCUGUAGUGCAUCUCAAACUUUGUUGAAGCAGUUCAGACAACUCGUCACUUGUUUUUUUUUUUUUUUUUUUUUAACCAAAUGCAUAGAUUUUCCUGCAAAACAAUUUCUUCCAGAAUAUGCUGAUGCCCUUCAUUGAACAGAUGGCAUUGCCAUAUGUACUGUGCUCCCACCUAAGUCUCUGCUCACAGCUCGCAACGACUACUUCACUGCUGUUCUGUGGAAUUACAAUGGCUGUAAGAAAAACUAUGUGAGAAAACACCCAUGGAGUAUCUGUCUACAUCAGCAGUUCUGCUUCACAGUGUUGUGUUAUGAAAAAAAUCUUUUGUAAGUUUUAAAAAUUAUGUUGUUGAUAACCCUGCUGAGAGAAAAAAGAGAGAGAGAAAAAGAAAAAAAAAACCUGGUCUGCGUUGCUGGUUUUAGAGGGGCAUUUGUAUGGUCAAACUGGGAGACCAAAUGGCUUGACCAAGCUGGAAGACCAGCUUAAAGCAGGUAAGACCAGCAAACCAUCUUAGGUUUGUUUUUUAAUAAUAGUUCACCCAAAUUUGCUGAAAAUGACCUCUCCCUCAGGAUGAGUAGAGGAGUUUGUUUCUUCAUCAGAACAGAUUUAGAGAAAUGUAGCAUUAUAUUAGUUGUUCAUCAAUGGAUCCUCUGCAGUAUUAGUGCCCUCAGAAUGAGAGUCCAAACAGCUGAUAAAAGCAUCACGAUAAUCUACAAGUAAUUCACAGGACUUAAGCCCAUCAAUGAUUAUUUGACAUAAUUGGGGCUUAUUAUCUGUAAUACUAGCUAUAAUACAACAAAAAGGUUAAAGCUUUUAAUGUGUCUCUCACAGAUGGAUGUCGAUAUGCUUGUUGUCGC